rnacentral:rRNA from 1 species
UAAAGCCAAAGAUCCUCCUGGCUGUAGCACGCACUUCGAGGACACGAAGCCCUACCACGAAAGUAGCUUUACUUAUUUUCCUCUGACCCCACGAAAGCUAAGAAACAAACUGGGAUUAGAUACCCCACUAUGCUUAGCCUUAAACCUAGAUGUUGAAUUUACAAACAACAUCCGCCAGGGUACUACAAGCGCUAGCUUAAAACCCAAAGGACUUGACGGUGUCUCAGACCCACCUAGAGGAGCCUGUUCUAGAACCGAUAAUCCCCGUUAAACCUCACCACCCCUUGUUUCCUCCGCCUAUAUACCGCCGUCGCAAGCUUACCCUGUGAAGGACUAAUAGUAAGCAAAAUGGGUAAAUCCCAAAACGUCAGGUCGAGGUGUAGCUUACGAGGUGGGAAGAAAUGGGCUACAUUUUCUAUAUCAGAAUAAUACGAACAACACCAUGAAAUUGGUGCUCGAAGGUGGAUUUAGUAGUAAAAAACAAAUAGAGAGUCUUUUUGAACCAGGCUCUGAGACGCGCACACACCGCCCGUCACUC